rnacentral:rRNA from 1 species
CGGGAGGCAGCAGUGGGGAAUAUUGCACAAUGGGCGCAAGCCUGAUGCAGCCAUGCCGCGUGUGUGAAGAAGGCCUUCGGGUUGUAAAGCACUUUCAGUCGUGAGGAAGGUAGUGUAGUUAAUAGCUGCAUUAUUUGACGUUAGCGACAGAAGAAGCACCGGCUAACUCCGUGCCAGCAGCCGCGGUAAUACGGAGGGUGCGAGCGUUAAUCGGAAUUACUGGGCGUAAAGCGCAUGCAGGUGGUUUGUUAAGUCAGAUGUGAAAGCCCGGGGCUCAACCUCGGAAUUGCAUUUGAAACUGGCAGACUAGAGUACUGUAGAGGGGGUAGAAUUUCAGGUGUAGCGGUGAAAUGCGUAGAGAUCUGAAGGAAUACCGGUGGCGAAGGCGGCCCCCUGGACAGAUACUGACACUCAGAUGCGAAAGCGUGGGGAGCAAACAGGAUUAGAUACCCUGGUAG